AUAUACACUAUCACCGUCUCUUCAUGUUAUGUAAUGUUGUUUGUGCAAUGGAUAUUCAGUUCCCAGCUAUACUGAAAUUUACAAGAAAAUGAACAAUUGCAUACAUAUUAAUUUUCGCUUCUAAGAGAACUUAUAAGUUACUUCAGCUUCUCUAUUGCAGCACCCACAGAGCUUUAACAAAAACAUUGCAUUUACAACGCGAAUGAUCUCAAUGGUUCCUUU
rnacentral:lncRNA from 1 species